rnacentral:misc_RNA from 1 species
GCAAACUUGGUCAUUUAGAGGAAGUAAAAGUCGUAACAAGGUUUCCGUAGGUGAACCUGCGGAAGGAUCAUUACUUAACGGGGCCCUUGAGGCCCUAGGUUCGAAAUGAACCCCCCUAAAAGGGGAGCCCCUUGUUUUUUUGAGCACCGUUUGUUUCCUCGGCAGGCUUGCCUGCCAAUGGGGACCCCAAUAAAACCUUUGCAAUAAGCAGUAACUGUCAGUAAUAUAAUCUUACAACUUUCAACAAUGGAUCUCUUGGCUCUGGCAUCGAUGAAGAACGCAGC